UUGCAGCAAACAAGAAGUGAAUCCCGUAACUCCUCUUCCUAAAAUUCUCCAAAUUUCAAUCUUCCAUAACUUCUUCAUUUCUCAAUGAAAUUGAGCGAUUCUUGCGGCCACUGAACGAAGAAGCGAUUAUCUACAGCUUUAUGGCAUCAAUUUGAGGUAAGGAUCUCGAAUUUUGGUCAGGGUUUCAGAGUAAUAUUUCGGUUUUUUCAAGUUCGAUGGUGAUGAUGUUUAUUAGUUAGGAAUUGACGUUUUUACUAUAAAAUUGAGGAGAUAAAAUGAUUAUGGCUGAGAAUUGAUUUGGUUAUGAUGAUUUGUGAAAGAUUGUUCUUGGUUAGGGUUUGGAGCCAAAAUUUGAAGUGUUGAUGGUGAUUAUUGGAAGGAAUUGGUUCGGUCAUGAAGUAAACAUGCCAACCUCAAGAUCGGACGAGCGAAUAUCGACAAUGCUUGAGGCAAACAGAUCGAGAUAUCGUCAUGCUUAUUUGAAGAAUUUGGAUAGCAAGUGGGAUAGUAUGAUAUGAUUUGAAGAGUCAAGCUUCCGAAGUUUUAAUUCUCGAAAGUCAUUUGCACAAGAAGUAAAAGAAGGUUUUCAUUCUAGCGGUCCGCAGUAGUCUAGAUGUUUUUGUCUAUGUAUUUGUAUAACGCAUUUUAACUCUGAUGUUUUUGUAAAAUGGGGUCACAUGUUUUUGAUAUAUGAAAUAUGAUUUGAUUUGCGAAAAAUUUACACAGGUUUUAGGCUUGCUACGGGUUUCGGAGCUACCACUCCCAUUCCCUAGCGCCGGUCGCGACUCAUAAAUUUGGG